UACGAAGGGGCUAGCGUUGUUCGGAUUUACUGGGCGUAAAGCGCACGUAGGCGGAUAUUUAAGUCAGGGGUGAAAUCCCGGGGCUCAACCCCGGAACUGCCUUUGAUACUGGGUAUCUUUGAGUCCGGAAGAGGUGAGUGGAAUUCCGAGUGUAGAGGUGAAAUUCGUAGAUAUUCGGAGGAACACCAGUGGCGAAGGCGGCUCACUGGUCCGGUACUGACGCUGAGGUGCGAAAGCGUGGGGAGCAAACAGG
rnacentral:rRNA from 1 species